CAAAGAAAAAGAAAAUGAUGAAAAUUCGCACAGCAGCAGCAAUGAAAAGAAGAACAGCAAUUUGAAAGCUGGUGUUGCUAC
rnacentral:rRNA from 12 species